rnacentral:rRNA from 1 species
AUGAGUACACUUUAAAUCCUUUAACAAGGAUCCAUUGGAGGGCAAGUCUGGUGCCAGCAGCCGCGGUAAUUCCAGCUCCAAUAGCGUAUAUUAAAGUUGUUGCGGUUAAAAAGCUCGUAGUUGGUUCUGCGUGCCACGCUGUCGGUUCGCCGCCUGUCGGUGUAACUGGCAUGUCGCGGCAUGUCCUGUCGGUGGUGAACGGGGUCCCCGGCGCGGCGUAGGCUUUAUAGCUGAAGUUUGUGCCGUGUGUGUUCUCGUUUGCCGAUUCCUACUCCGGUGCUCUUAAACGAGUGUCGAGGUAGGCCGACACGUUCACUUUGAACAAAUUAGAGUGCUUAAAGCAGGCUGAAAUAUCUGCCUGAAUAGUGGUGCAUGGAAUGAUAAAACAGGACCUCAGUUCUAUUUUGUUGGUUUUAGGAAUAUGAGGUAAUGAUCAAUGUGGACUGGCGGGGGCAUUCGUAUUGCGACGUUAGAGGUGAAAUUCUUGGAUCGUCGCAAGACGCACUAGAGCGAAAGCAUUUGCCAAGUAUGUCUUAAUUGAUCAAGAACGAAAGUUAGAGGUUCGAAGGCGAUCAGAUACCGCCCUAGUUCUAACCAUAAACGAUGCCAGCCAGCGAUCCGCCGAUGUUCCUUUAAUGACUCGGCGGGGAGCUUCCACCCGGGAAACCAAAGCUUUUGGGUUCCGGGGAAGUAUGGUUGC